GCCUGGCUGGCUCAGCUGGUAGAACAUGUGACUCUUGAUCUCAGGGUCGUGAGUACGAGCCCCACAUCAGGCU
rnacentral:tRNA from 1 species